UACGAAGGGGGCAAGCGUUGUUCGGAAUGACUGGGCGUAAAGGGCGCGUAGGCGGUUCGUUGCGUCAGAUGUGAAAGCCCCGGGCUCAACCUGGGAACUGCAUUUGAUACGGGCGGGCUUGAAUCCAAGAGAGGGUGGUGGAAUUCCAGGUGUAGCGGUGAAAUGCGUAGAUAUCUGGAGGAACACCGGUGGCGAAGGCGGCAUCCUGGACCGGCAUUGACGCUGAGGAGCGAAAGCCAGGGGAG
rnacentral:rRNA from 1 species